CACAAGGGAGGCGGGAUGUAGAGGUGGCACUAACUUCUGAUGUAUAUCCAGUCAUAUCACUGAGACGGUGAAACAAGUGAACAACAAGACAACAACAAGGUCAUAUACUGUAAACUUGAUACCAGUAGUUACCAUAAAGCAUAGUUUUGGUAUCUGACCUGCAGGUGAGGUGUGAUGAUGGCCUCAUAUUCGAUGGCUAACACGUCCGGUCCUGAGCUCAGUAUAGAAGGCGCCUCCUCCAGGAACUUCUCAAUAUCCCUUAAGGCGGUCUGAGCCCCCUCCUUCGACUGGAAGUUUUCUACCAGCUGAUUGGCCAGCAGAUAUGCCCCGUCAUCACACCAAAUGUGUGCCUGAAGUCCAGCUUCACGUCCCACUCGGAGUCGUCCUCCUUCCCAGAGGUCUCCAGGCUGGAGAGCAGGUGACGACCUUCCUUCGACACCGACCUGAUUGCAUCCUGUCAAGUGGAGGUCAAUUUCCGUCAUAAUUUGAGCCUCGAGGAGAUACUCGAUGGCCUUCCCCUUGUCCGGCAGCUCCGUCUCUGCCAGCUCGGUGCCGAAGCCCUGCAGCAUCUGCGCAAUGUCUUUGACUGUCA